AUAUAUGAGCACGCUCAGUGAAUUCUUCUUUGUGGUCAUUUAUCAUUUUGAGCAGAUUUGCUAGAAAAAAUAUUUUAGACCAGUUCAUCAACAGCUCCACUGAUGGCUGCCACCAGUUCUGGAAUCCCUUGAGAACAAUAACAUACAACCAAGCUGUUAGCCAUAUUUCAAGUAAAGCACUCCUGUUAAAGAGGCAGAACAUGGUCAAAUGUCACUGUUGCUGAACUUGAAAGAACUUUGUGAUUGCAGUACACAAAAUUAGAAAAACUCUUCCAAGCAAAACUUUGUUUCCAACAUAUGUUCAAUUCUUCCUUCUGCAGAAUAGAAAUUCCACUAAUAAAACUAAGAUUCAUUUACAACAUUAUGAAGAGAACGCCAGUGAUAGACAAUAAAGCAGAUAUAUUGUGCAUUUCUUAAAACACUGCAUGACAAUAGGCUGCAAAUAUAACUUCACACUUCACCUGUUCUUGGAAAAUACUUUUUUAAAGCUACUGAAGACAGAAGCUAUGAAUAAAACAAAAGCUUUUUCUCUC